rnacentral:tRNA from 1 species
GCAUAAGUAGCUCAGUGGUAGAGCAUCGCCUUGCCAAGGCGAGGGUCGCGGGUUCGAAUCCCGUCUUGUGCU